GACGAACGCUGGCGGCGUGCCUAAUACAUGCAAGUAGAACGCAGUUGCGAACGGGUGAGUAACGCGUAGGUAACUGCCUGGUAGCGGGGGAUAACUAUUGGAAACGAUAGCUAAUACCGCAUACUACCAGAUGGACCUGCGUUGUAUUAGCUAGUUGGUGGGGUAACGGCUCACCAAGGCAACGAUACAGAGCCGACGUGGGAGGGUGAUCGGCCGCAAUGGGACUGGGACAAGGCCCAGAAUCCUCAGGGAGGCAAGCAUCAGGAAUCUUCGGCAAUUGGGGGAAACCUGACAGAGCAACGGCGCGUGAGUGAAGAAGGUUUUUGGGUCGUAAAGCUCUGUUGUUAAGGAAGCGGUACUUACCCAGAAAGGGACGGCUAACUACGUGCCAGCAGCCGCGGUAAUUC
rnacentral:rRNA from 1 species